rnacentral:tRNA from 1 species
GCCCGGCUAGCUCAGUCGGUAGGGGAUGAGACUCUUAAUCUCAGGGUCGUUGGUUCGAGCCCCACGCUCGGCG